ensembl:rRNA 5S_rRNA 5S ribosomal RNA
GCUUAUGAGGAUACCUAAACCUUGCACGCCCGAUCUCGUCUGAUCUCGGAAGCUAAGCAGGGUCGGGCCUGGUUAGUACUUGGAUGGGUGACCGCCUGGGAAUACCAGGUGCUGUAAGCA